GACUGGUCUAAGAUGGUUUUGAAGGAAAAAGAUUUUGCUUUAUUUCAUUCUUUCCUCUCCAUUGUUGUAGGUUACAAGGGAAAUGCCAGAACAUGAGCAGGAAACAGCUCAGAGAACAAAUGUCUGGCUGUAAGAGAAUGACACAGCAACAUCAGAAACAGCUGGUGAAUCUGGAAAAUAAGCUAAAGGCUAAGAUGGAUGAGCAUCGUCUCAGAUUAGAGAAAAAUCUUGAAACUCAGCAUAACAACUUUGCAGCAAAAAUGAAGAAACUUAUCAAGAAACAUCAGGUGCGGUGGAAAAAGAGUUCCCUUUAAAGGAAUGCUAGAAACUCCUAAAGGGGUGGAUUCAGGCAGACUGGACUGACGUGCCUGGAGAAGACUUACAUUGGUUGAGAAAACCAAGAUUUCAAUGGUGAUUAGUCUGCUCUAGGCGGAGAGCAUCACUGAGAGGCCGUGGAGAAUUCGACCUGGGAGCCCUCUGUGAAAAGCAGGAAUCUGUCAGCAGCAGGGCUCCUGGUUCUUCAAGACAACUGGGGAGAGGGCAGGACAGCAACCUAAAGGAACUUGGAGCGCUCACGGGGAAGGACAUUUUUUCCCUUCAAGUCAUAUUCAUGGCUCCCCACCCGCCUGCAGCUCAGUCUCCACACUAGCGGUGGGACCCCAAGUCACAUCUGACUGUCAGCAUCGGGUGCAUCCUUCAUUGCAAAACAAAACAAAAUAAAACAAAACAUACCCCUCUCUGGAAAAGAAAAGUUAGCUUUCAUCAAGAGAUUUCCUGACCACCAUAACUCACUAUAGUUUUUGCUUUUUCCUUUAAUUUGCCAAACUUGCUGGUUCCUUUUCAAUAGUACUUAAGCACCCAGGCUUUAGACUUCUGGAAGUGGUGUUUUCUGCCAUGUGAUGUUCACAUGAUGCCAAACAAUCACUAAGUCUCAAGGAACUGGAAGUUUGUAAAGUAUUGCAGCAACAAAAAAAGCAAUUAAAAAAAAGAAGAGGACCUGCACAUGCAGCAAAACCUACAGUGGUGCUGAGGGUUAGUCAGCAGCUGGUAUAGUCACAGGCUCAGUGACUCCUGGCUCACUAUGGCAACUAAGCACUUAAAUAAGGGGCUAUUCUACUUGUAAACAGGAAACCCCAUAAACCGAAAGAGGGUAAUCGAAUUAUGUCUAAGUAGUGUGAUGAGAAUUCCAGGAGAUGGCGGUCUGUAAAUACGGCAUCAUUCAAAUACCUCUGGCAUUUGAUUUGUAUUGCCUGCUAUAUGUCUUUGUUUUUGUAUAAACAAAGUAAAAGUACUGUUUGGGGUCUUGGAAGUUAACAGAGCUUAGCUCAGCUAGGAUGACAUAUCACAGCAUAAGCAACAAAACGUCAGCAUAUAUAUAGGCUUCAUCUCCACACUCUGCUACUGAACAAACCCAUCAUAUGAGCUUUCAGGGGCCCCUCUCACCCUUUUUGUCUUCCCCUUUGGAGGCUCACAGGUUUGAUGAUGCAAUUUCCACAAAACCUGUGGUCUCCUGAAGCACCUCCAUCUCACCAUGCCACAAAGAAGGCACAAUUGAAUGGAC